GUCCACGCCAGCCGCGGGACGUUCUUAUUGGCGCUUCCCAGGCGAGGCGCUGAUUGGAUGUUGCCGGGUGACGGCUAUUAGGGCGCGUGAGGGAGUUUUCUGGGAAGCGGGAAAGAGGCGGCGGCGGUCUGUGCUCAGUUGAGGUGGAGAAAGAGGCGCCGAAGGGCGGCGUGUGGAAGUCGCUCCCCUCACUCUGGAUGUGUGUAAAUGCUUUUUCCUUCACUGGCAGAUACGCCUAAGCACAUAUAACCAGUGCGUAAGUCCCAUUGAACUCACUGGGUGUUUGUUGAUUUAUGUAUGUACUUAAAAUAAUUUUAUUUUACCUCCGCGUUCAUUCGUUUACUGCAUUUAUACACCUUUUUCUCCAAGGAGCUCACGGUGACAUACAUGGUUCAUUAAAAAACACACAACCCAGUGCACUAAUGAUAAUAGCAAUGAAAAAUUAAAUCCUUUAAACUAAAUUCAGUUAGCCAACCCUUGCAAUAAAAUAGGGUCACUACCCCUCACUAUUCAAAUCGCUGAUGUGAGGAUAAAACACUAGAUAAAAAAAUAAUUUCCCCCGUUCUAAAAAAAAAACCCCAACCCCGUAGGUUUUUAUUAGAUUGCAAUUGCUGACACAUAAGCGUCCUUGAGGAAGAUGAAAAGUGAUACUCUUAUUUCCUCUGAAUACCCAAGGGACUAAUUUUGAAGUUGCUGCCACCUCUUGGGAAAAAGCCACAGUGUUUAUAAGCAUCCUGUCUAGUUUUACAACGGUCUCUGAUUUCUGAAGCAUUGAGAACAAAUCAACAGACCUUAAAAACACUUGAGGAAACUCUUGAUUCAAAAGCUUACUGCAUUGUUACUCUGCUGCUCAUGAUUUAAUAAUACGAGGAGCACAGACUGCUUGUUGCUUGGUUAGGUUAUCCAGACAUUUUUUCUGCUAAGCAUCUCUCUUAAAGAAUAAGCAGAUGAUCCAUUUUUUAUCUACAAACGGUAAGAAUUUAGUGUGAUGAAGUAACUCACUUGGUUAACCUGCAAGUAUAGUUAAUUUCCAAUUAAAAAACCAUACCACUGGGCUUUGCCAAUUAAUUUAAAUCACCUGGGGGGCAGGAAAACCCUUACUGAAUAAAGCAGUCAUAUACUCUAUACCUGAGCAGGGGAGGGAGGUGAAAUUCCACCAGGAUGGCCACCAUAUUCUACGUGUGCUCAGCUUGGUACAGAAGGAGGGAAAUACAAAACAUAGGAAAGUGGUAUGAAAUAGCAGACACUGCCCCAGCAACCCUCAAUAGACUGUGAAUGCUGAACAAUCGGAUGUACUGCCUACAAAAGAGGCCAGUGAAUCCACAACAAGGACAUGCCCUCAGCAUUGUUGCAUGUACAGUGAUGCCAGACCACUCUCAAGUCAUCACUCCCAGGCACAGCCAGCAAUGCCCAUAGUAUAGCAAGUCUCCAGCUAUCCUUGCGGGUAGAGAUUUGAAUCCCUUAUGCUCCUCACAAGAACUAUCUGGAAUGAAGGAGAGGCCAUGUAAUACAACAUAUGCAUAAGCUCCCUGGGCAGAGUACCUGCAGAGUGCAUAUAAAUCAUCCCUGGGGUUCUGAUCCCACCCAGGGAGGGAAAGACUUUGGGAGGGGGGUUGCACCUUCAAAGGGAAAGGGCCAGGUGAAGAAUCAACAAUGAGAAAUACAGAUAUGCACCGAGUUGAGAAGCAGGAGAUGGGAAUUCAGGACCCGCCAGGGGAAAAGGGGGAAGUGUGCCUGCUUCCUCUUGCUCCCAGCCCAAAAACUACUCAAAGAUGCCAUGAUCACGUUAAGGAGCCCUGGCCAGGUGGAACACCUUACAUUUUGCAUGCAGAGGAUCUCUGGUUUGAAUCCAGCAUACAACUCCGGGAAGCCUUCAUGGACCAAUAGCCUGACUCUUGCAAGGCCCAGUCCUUUUGACUCUCUCUCCUGGUGGUAACUUGCAUAACCAACCUUCUCCCUCAUCUGUUUUGCCCAAUAAGCCAGCCUUGCCAGGCAGCAUCUCAAUAAUUUUCGUUAUCAUUUCUCCACCGCUUCCUCCUCCCCUCCUUCCGUUUGACUGCCUCAAACACCCUGGUAACAUCACACUCCAGGGUACUUGAGAGAGCAGACAAUGGAGUGUUCCACCGGUGUAUCUGUCAUGGUGACAAAAUAUCUCGUGUUCUGUCAGUGUAGUGGGGCGUCUGCCAAAUCCUAUGGCCCCAUAGCCAACAGUUGUUGAGUAUAGAGUAUUUCAUAGAAUUAUAGAAUUGCAGAGUUGGAAGGGACCACAAGGGUCAUCUAGUCUUUCCCUGAAUCAUUAAUUUAAUCAGCUUUCCAGUUUUUUAUUUUUUAAAAAUUUCUAUAAGAAUUGCAAAUCACAAAGUUCAGUAAAAGUCCUACCCUGCUAAUUCAAUAAAAAAUAUGUGAGGGAGGGAGGGGGUUGUUGGUUUGUGUUAGUUUUUAUUUUAUUAUGUGUUUUGUAUUCUCAUUUUGUAUUUUUAUGUUGUGAGCUGCCUUGUGAUCUUCGGAUGAAGGGAGGUAUACAUAUUUAGCAAACAAACAAACAAACAAUAAAAGACAUACUUUAAUGCUGAAAAGAAUGCUCUUAACUCUCCAGGCCUAUACUAUUUCCAGUAGGGAAUAUAUGGGGGGUGCUUUAAAUGUAUGGUUUGUAUGUAACCAAAGUCUCAGUGCAAUAGACAUACAUGUCUAUUUAGACUUAAGUUCCAUUUAUUUCAUUGAGACUUUUUCCCAGGCAAGUGAGUACUGGACUGCAGUCUCAGGUACACCGAUAAGGUUUUCCAAAAGUUGCUGACCUUUGUAAAAUAAGCCACCAUCUUGGAGUCACUUAACAAGGUGGUCAGAAAAAGCACACAUGAAAUAUUGAAAAGUAAACUUCUCAGUUGAAGCCAUAAUUUCUGUAAUUCACUAGAGGGAGCUGUUGAAUCAGAAUACAGCGGUACCUCCCGUUAGGAAAUUAAUUCGUUCACAAGGUCCGUUCUUAAGCUGAAACCGCUCAUAAUGACGCCUGCUGCUGCUGCGCUGCCGGCACGCGAUUUCCGCUCGCAUCCUGGGCAAAUUUCGCAACCGGGAGCAUCUACUUCGGGGUUAGCGGAGCUCAUAACCCAAAGCGUUUGCAAGGAGGACAGUACGUAACACGAGGUUCCACUGUAGUUUUCCAAAGUCUAGUUCCUUAUAAAUAUUGAAAAUAAAACAUACUCUUUUAAAAUUCUGGUUAUACUCAAAUAAUGUUUUUGUGAGCUAAGGUGGGAUAAUAUCCUAGUAAGAACAUCUCUCAGAAAAUAGACACCACAGGAAGGUGUAAAAUUCCAGGGAAUAAAAAAGUUAUUCCUAUCAGGUAGCUAUGUCACAGGUAAUUAUGAUGGUAUAAAACAUUUUGGCAGCCCCAACCACCAAGAAGGGAUUGUUAGCACAAUAAGGGACAUUUACGUAUUGGACAAAUACUCCUUUGUUGCACUUGCAUAUCUACAGAUUUUGAAGAUUUGUAUCCAUGUUCCUCAAAUCAGUGGAAGUAGAUCUGGUGGAAGAAGGCAUAAUACAACCUGUCGAGUUCCUUUUAAAAAUUAUUCUGUCUACUUUGGUGAUAAAAAGCAGGAAAAGCUAUAGGGUUUUUUUCUUUUCAAGCUCUGGAGGCAGGGAGGGGGGAAAGCCUGGUUGUAGCAGACGCUGGCUACGUAAGCACUGAUUUGUGACAAUAAUAUGUGUUCAUUUGUAUGAAUAACCUUGUUGAGUCACUUGAGGAAGUUUUUGUAUACACACUUCAAGAGGAACUUAGUGAUCUAGAAUUAAGACUCAGAUACAUUCCAUUCUGGAAAUAAACAGAGUAGGAUGGUAUUUUGCUUUUGAUGUUCCCUGAGCUUGAAAUGAAUGAACAGCCUGCAUGAUCAUACACAAGUGUGGACUAGAACUGUUUGUUCCUUGUAAUGAGAAAUAUUGUGUGGAUGUUAGUAGGGGACUUAGCUCCAAAUAAGUUUUUGUAAUUAAUUUUCUAUAUUUGAUUGCCUUUUGUUGAAUCUGUUUGGAUUAAUGUUUACAAUUGGGUAUCUUGUAAUGGAUACAAUUGGGUAUCUUGAAUAGCCUUCUAUCUUUUUUUCAAGCUAGUAUGAAUGUGAUUGCUGUCUGUUGCAUCUUUUCAAAGCAUUCUGACAAAUGCCAUAGUCCUUAGAAAGGAGGAAGUUUUAAGGGAAUUACCUGGAUUUUAAAUUCUGGUAAACUAAUGACUGUCUCUAUAUUUGAGGCCUAAAACCCUACUGGAAACAGCCUGUGCUUGGACAUACUGUAUUUUUUGCCCUAUAGGGUGCACCGGCCCUCAGGGCACACCUAGUUUGGGGGAGGGGAAUAAAGAAAAAAAAAUUAUUUCCCCCCCAGGUGUGGGGCUGGAAUCCGCAGGGCUGGCUGCUAUUUCGCCCCCCAGGCGCGGGCUUCGGGCAGAUAUCCGCAAGCCUGGGGAGACCGGCAGGAGUUCUCUGAGGGAGGGAGUUCCCUAGGGAGGGACCGGCGGGAGUUCCCUAGGGAGGGAGUUCCCUCCCUAGGCUUGCGGAUAGCUUCCUGAAGCCUGGAGAGCGAGAGGGGUCGGAACUCCCGCCGGUCUCCCCAGGCUUGCGGAUAUAUGCCCGAAGCCCGGGGGCGCUCCACUGCGCUCCCCGGGUUUCGGGCUGCAGGCUGCUGUCCGCAAGCCUUGGGAGCCCGGCGGGAACUCCCGCGGGCUCCCAAGGCUUGCAGAUAGCUUCCUGAAGCCUGGAGAGCGAGAGGGGUCGGUGUGCACCGACCCCUCUUGCUCUCCAGGCUUCAGCGAAAGCCUGCAUUCGCUCCAUAGGACGCACACACAUUUCCCCUUUAUUUUUGGAGGGGAAAAAGUGUGUCCUAUAGGGCGAAAAAUACAGUAGUUUGAAUGUGCCAUUUACUUUGAGCAUUAGUCUUUCACUCACAAGAAGACAAUCCCUUCCUCUUUUUGAAUUCUGUUGGAUAAGGAACGAUAACAAGUAUGGAAAGAUUUCAGCAUGUUGAAUAUUCCAUCAACCAGGCUUUUCAGCUUGCCAGAAGGAAUGAACUCCACUCUGCUUCUCCUCUGUUAGAGGAAUUUUAAGGUCUUAUUUAUAUAAAAUAAAUGUUCAUUACUGUACAAGGCAAACACAUACAUACAUACAUACAUACAUACAUAAAUAAAUAAAUAAAUAAAUAAAGCACAUGUCUGGAAACAGUACAGGAAAACAGUCCUAAAGCCAUUUUGAAUCUUUAAGUCACCUCAAAUAUUUCUCUGCAAGGAGGAACGAAAUGGAAAAGCCUCCCCAUUGUCUCUUUGUUCACAAAUCCUGUCUUAAGGGUGUCUCUGUGUGAAUAGGGUGAGCCUGUGACCUGGAUUCAGGAAUUAAGUACCGGUAGUUAUCAUCACAAUUUGUUGAUGUUUGUUGUUGUUUAGUCGUUUAGUCAUGUCCGACUCUUCGUGACCCCAUGGACCAGAGCAUGCCAGGUACUCCUGUCUUUCACCGCCUCCUGCAAUUUGGUAAAACUCAGUUUGGUUGGUAGCUUCGAGAACACUGUCCAACCAUCUCGUCCACCGUCAUCCCCUUCUCCUUGGGCCCUCAAUCUUUCCCAGCAUCAGGGUCUUUUCCAGGGAGUCUUCUCUUCUCAUGAGGUGGCCAAAGUAUUGGAGCUUCAGCUUCAGGAUCUGUCCUUCCAGUGAGCACUCAGGGCUGAUUUCCUUCAGAAUGGAUAGGUUUGAUCUUCUUGCAGUCCAUGGGACUCUCAAGAGUCUUCUCCAGCACCAUAACUCAAAAGCAUCAAUUCUACGACGAUCAGCCUUAUUUAUGGUCCAGCUCUCACUUCCAUACCUCAGAGAGACAUUCAGUGAAACAAAGUAUGUACUAUUUUCUGAAGUAUGUGACGAUCUCCUAGCCAGACAAACAUCAGAGCUCAGGCAAUGUGAGAACUUGCAUGGCUACUCUUAUGUUUUAUGCUUUUUGUUGUUGAAUUUUUCUGGCUUUUUCUUUCAAAUACCAUGUAAACUCAAAUUUUCUUAAAUACGGGCUGAUUUAUUUUUUUAUUAUUAAAAGUAUGUGCCUGCAGUCUUUCCACUCACCUUCUUGUGCUUCUGCUCUGUUAAUGCACAAUGAAGAGGUUUGAACUACCCCAAAAUAUGGAGGGGAGGGAUUGCGUGUAAAAGGAUACUUAGUAAGGCAUUAUAGAAAUUCUAGACGGUGAAAGCUGAUAUAUUUUGGGAGUCCUCCUGCCUUCAUUCUAUUGCUAAUCUGUCACGUUAAGAUUUAGGUUAUUAUUCUAAACUGAUUAUUCUAAAACCUUUGUUUAAGAUAGUUUUCAAAACAACCCAAAGUGGUUUAGUUUAUAUUCCCUCAUCUUCAAGUAUUGUGAUCAUGUGUAUAAGAUGGUUUUUACUAUUUUUCUAUAUGAAUCAAUGAGUUAAUUAAUUUACUUUUUUUCAUUCAUCACUUCGUUGUAAACAAAAUCUGCCCUUUUUCCCUUAUGGGAUAUCCAAGAGCCGUAUAGAGUCCUUAAGUGGGUUCCCUAUUGGUAGGAGAAAAUAACAGAGGCCAACCAGAGAAUAUUGAGAAGCAAAGCAGCUAGUAAGCCUGAUCUUAAUUAAAACAGUUGCAACAGGGUGCUCCCCCCACAUGCAGGAGAGAGGAGGAGGACCCAGAACAAAGGUGUGCCAGCUCUUAUAUAGACUUUUGAAAUUGCCCACCCUCAAACUCAAGACCACCCCAAUACAUCAUACAUACAUCACAGAAAGAGGUGGUUUCCAGCAAAAUCCUGUCUGGCAGAAAACCUGUCAAUGGUCACGGAUUGGAUCACCCGGGCAGCCUGGCCAUUCUUUUGUAAUGAUAAAUACUUAAUUCCUGAGCCAGGUCACAGGCUCACUCUAUUCACACCUUAAAUGUGCCUUUAAGCCAGGAUUUGUGAGCGCAAAGACAGUGGGGAGGUUUUUUUCAUUUCAUUUCCUUGCAGAGAAACAUUGGUCAGUUUGGGAGAGUCAAAAUGGUUUCAGGACUGUCUUCCUGUACUGUUUCAGACAUGUGGUAUAUAUAUUUAUGUACGUGUUUUCCUUGUACAUUCAAUUUAUAUAUUUGAGACCUUAAAUUCUUAUAACAACUUUGUGUUAUUAAUAUGUAUAGAAUUUCAGUUACAUGAGUCUAGUAUAAGGGAUAGAUGACUCAAAGUUUCUGAUAAUAAACCACCUUAUCUUAUGUUGCUUUGUCUUCUACUAGCCUAGCUCUUGUCUGAGAAACCUCUGUAGAUAAUUGACCAAACAAACAUGACUGGUGAUUUUCUAUCUUAUUUUCUGAAUUUCCAGUCUUUUGAGCUUGAACAUCUGCAAUGUUCAGAGCCACUCUUACAAGGAAAAAUUAAUCUACCUACAUUUUCUGAUAUGAUUUUUAGUUAUGAAAACACAGUUUUAAAAAACCCUAAAGAUAAUCCAAAUCCUUGAAUGUCUGCCUAAAUGCAGAACUUGUGUGUCAAUUUUUUAGCUAGGCAUGGAUAGUUAAGAAUUUCAGCUUUGUUUUUCCUCUUUCUGUCAAAAGAUGUUUUGUUUCUGCUCUGUAUACUUUCCAAGGCACACACAACAGAAGCAUACACAAAAGCUCCAUUCAUGCUGGUGUUUUUUUAGCUACUAAGCAAUGUCCCCUUUCUAUGUAGCUGAUGAACCUUGCAGCAGUGUGGCAUUGACCCUCAGGAAACCUUGAGAAAUUGAAGCCACAUUUUUUAUAUCUGCAUAAUCACCUCUCACUUCCAGACAGUAAGAGGCACAUACAUAUUAGCUGGCUUGCUAGCUGCUGCUGAAACACCAUUCUACUUGUUCUUUCCUUUUACUACUGUAAGAUUCACUCAACCCAAUCCAAAUUUGUCAGAUUUCAAUUUGAUUCCUAAUCCAUCAGUUGUUAUAAAUGGUGAGGGGGGAGAAUAAUAAAGGACUAAUAUUUGGCUCAUUGUUAAAGUAUCCUUUAAAUAUUAAUAUAUGGAGAGACUUGGCACCAGGACCAGCUCUGUCAUUAGGCAGAGUGAGGUAGUCAGCUCAGGCAGCUGAUUUAGGGUGCAGAAUGCUGAAGCCUGGUUGCUGUGGGAGGCAAUGAGAAGGGAUAUAUGACCACCAUAAACCACAACACUCACUGUUGCUGAGCUACUGAUUCAGGAUUUUGUUAUGAGGAUAUAAAGUCCUUAGCAACUUGGGACUCAAUUCUGAUAAGGAGUACCUUCCCAGAUUUUAAAAAAGAGGAAAAACUAAUUCACAUUUAAAGAGCUAUAUAAUAAAAGCUAGAAAAAUAUGUUUUACUCCAGGAAUCUUAAGAAACUCAAAGUAAAAACUGGCCCAGAGUUUGUACUAGUAUGUCUGACCACCAGGAAUUGCUUAAUUUGCAAAUGGGUCACUGAAAUAUUGCCAAUCUCACAUUGGCAGCAGGAUGUUUUUUACUUAGUGGAUUUCCUUUGGUAAGGGGAAAUUUGGGUUAUAUAUAGGCUGGCAUUUUGAUACCAUAGGUGGUGUAUGGGGACUGCAAAAAAUUGUAUGUAUGGUGGACAUUAAUCCCACAACGGACACCCAUCUGGAAGGGUCACAGCUUUCCAUAGCCAGGUCUUUCUGGGUCAACUGCGGGAUUUGAGCUGCCCGACUCUUGUGCAAACUGAUUUGGGGAGCUGACCGCUGUGCUGUAAGCACAGCUGUUGCUAAGCUUUGUUUGCUAUACUUGAUCAAAUGAUUGCCCAUAUUUGCACUAUGAGCUUAGGCACGUAUUAACACCAGGACAGUUACUGUGUCUAGUCACAUCUUUUUGUUGGACUGACGCAAAACUUGUGCUUGCAUUACUGUAUAAUCAAGCAGGACCACUCUGUUCUGAAGCCAAAUCUUCCUCUGUCCAUCAGGGUAGAUGAACAUCUGUGCUCUUUUAAAAAAAAAUCUAAGGCUUUUUUUUGUUUUGUUUUUUAAAUCUGUUGUGACCCUAGAAACAACCUGGUUUAAAAUUAUAUCUGAUGAGUCUAUCCUCAGGCCCUUAAAAUUUAAUCUAUGACCCUUUUAUCAAGUAGACUGCUUUCUUAAGCAAAAGAACAAAAACAGGAAAAAAAUAAUCUUCAGGUAUUCUGGCACAAAGAUAAUGAUUAUAUCCAAAUAUGCAGUUGUACUCAAGGGGACGCGGGUGGCACUGGUCUAAACCACAGAGCCUAGGGCUUGCCAGUCAGAAGGUCGGCAGUUCGAAUACCCACAAUGGGGUGAGCUCCCAUUGCUCGGUCUCUGCUCCUGCCAGCCUAGCAGUUCGAAAGCACGAAGUGCAAGUAGAUAAAUAGGUACCACUCCGGCGGGAAAGUAAACGGUGUUUCCAUGCACUGCUCUGGUUCGCCAGAAGCAGCUUAGUCAUGCUGGCCACAGUACCCGGAAGCUGUACACCGGCUCCCUCGGCCAGUAAAGCGAGAUGAGAGCCGCAACCCCAAAGUCGUCCGCAACUGGACCUAACGAUCAGAGGUCCCUUUACCCUUUUAUGCAAUAAUACUACUGCAGGCGUGUCCAACAGGUAGAUCGUGAUCUACCGGUAGAUCACUGGAUGUCUGCGGUAGAUCACUGGUAGAUCAUUGGCUCUUCCCAAAGAAGCUGAACAACUGUGAUUCCCCUAGAAAAAGCUCAACAUUUUACCUCCUCCCUGAAAAAACUCAAGAACUUUGACCUGAACCCCCAAAAAGGCGGUAGAUCACUGCCAGUUUUUAACUCUGUGAGUAGAUCACAGUCUCUUGGGAGUUGGCCACCCCUGUACUACUCGAAAGCCGCUUCUGCUCAUGGCAGGAUUGGUUCUGACCUAGAAAAAGAAGAAUCCCACCCCCCCUCAGGCCCUUCUAAUAGCCCACUCCAGCCUGUAUAUAUUUCCCUUAUUCUCCUUGUUUCUCAUUCUGUAAUACUACCCCUAAGCAUGGUGGUGCUAUUUUGAGAAACUUUAGCAGUUUUGUAAGAGUCCAUGGAAUAACACUAUAUUCUCCACUUCCACUCACGUUUCUUUGUAUCUAAACCAUUGCAUUAAAUGUUUUGGAAAUUAUUAGUAUUUGGGCUCUGUCAACUAAAACAGCAUGAACAUUUGCUUUCCAUAUCGUGGAAAAGUAUUUUUCUGCCCAGUUAUCUAGCCUUUGCUUCUGAAAAGUUCUCUGUGCUUAGGCUCAGUGCUACAUAUAAUUACAGGCAGUAAGUUCAACUGACCUGGGAGGGACUUCCUUCCAAGUAAAUAGGCAUAGGAUUGUAUUAUUGUGUUAUCUCUCUUAAAGGGAACGAUCCUGCUUAGGCCAGACUGCAUGUGAUGCUACAACAUACACAAAGCCUCUUAUGUGUAGGUAAAAAAGAAGUGUUUAUUCAGGCAAGCAGUGGUAAAGGCUUGGCAGAAGACACACCAUUCAGGAGUCAUGAUUCAGAAGUUCAGGAAUUAGGCAGGAUGUUCAGGACUGGAUGGAAGCAGUGAAGAUGUCCCAAUGGAGACAGAGCCCAUGAAAGUAAAUGCAACUUAGAAAAUUCAUUAAGUGCUCCCCCCUUUGUUUACUAAAAAGAUGCAGGGGCCAGUUUUCAUUAGGACUGCAGCAAAUAGGGAGGUUAAUUUAACAUUUUCCUCCCCAACAGCAACCCCAGUUAAAAUCCGCUCCCUGCUAUUAACCUGAGCAGUGGAGAACUCCCACUGACACCUGCCAGGGAAAGGAUGACAAUGCCAAAGGGCUCUCCCAGACAACCUGUUUAUUGAGCAUUCACUUUGAUUUGCUUGCACAAAGCUUACAUAGAGAUUAGACUAUGUCUAGUCUUUAUGGAGCAUUUGUUCUGGUUUGUUUGUGGGAUGAUUAUACAACAAUCUGCAUUCAUCCUGAUUUCUUUGCAGAGUGCUUAUAAUCUUUCUAUUAUUCAUUGUUACUACACAUUUCAGUGCAUUUAUAAGUCAUUUUCCUAACUGCAAAAAGUUAAUUUCUUUUUUUAAAGUGAAUGUUUAGGGUGACAAAGCAAUUUAAUCCACUUUAAUUGUGUGAACUUAAAUUUCCCGUUAUGCAUUUGACUCAUUCCCACAAAAUAUUGACAACCCCAAAAGUCUUGUGGCACCUAACAGGAACAAAUUCACUAUGGCAUAAGCUUUUGUGGACUAGAGCCCAUUUAAUGAGAUGUGAUCUUGCAGCUAAUGAAGUAGAUUUUAAAUUGUGAACACUCACAUCACAAUAAAUUUGUGUAUUUUGUAAGGUACCACAAGAUACAUCAUUGGUUUUACUGCAACAAACUAAUACAGCUACAGUACCAUGAAAACAGCAUAAUAAAAUACAUGUAAUAAAACACAUAUAAUGCAUAAAAUAUACAUGCAAAUAUGGCAUACCAUAUAUUUCAGGUCACAAGGCUAAACUCCUAGGUUUUCCUGAGUUGGGAAGCUUUUACUGCAAACUUAGCUAAACAUAACAGGCUUAGCUACACUAGACAUCAGAUGUUUUAUUUUAUCAACGUCACUGUGAGUGGUGGUUGGCUCUUGAAUUUUCUUUAAAUAUUUUGCCUUUGGAAUUUUGUAAAACUUGCAAUAUAACAUAUAAUGAAUGAUGACCCCUACUAUCUGGUAUACACAGAUCCAGAAGCACUGUCUUUCAGGAAUUUUCUUGUAACACCCACCUAAGAAGUUGGUUUUGAUAGUCUGAAAUAGAAGUUUAUAAAAUAAUGCAUGGUGUUGAGAAAACAGACAAUGAUUUUUUUUGGUCCCUCAUAAUACUAGAGCUUGGAGCUUUAUGAAGUUGAAUGUUGGAAAAUUCAGGACAAAACAAAGAAAGUCACUCAGGAUAUAGUUACAGAGGAGGCAGUGAUGGCCACUAACUUGGAUGGAUUUAAAAGAGAAUUAAGACAAAUUCAUGGAGGUUGUGGCUAUUACAGUGGUGCCCCGCAAGACGAAUGCCUCGCAAGACGGAAAACCCGCUAGACGAAAGGGUUUUCCGUUUUGGAGGUGCUUCGCAAAACGAAUUUCCUAUGUGCUUGCUUCGCAAGACGAAAAUGUCUUGCGAGUUCCUGCGGGGUUUUUUUCCUUUCCCCCCCCUUUUUCCCAAGCCGCUAAACCGCUUAUCAGCUGAUGGCUAAGCCGCUUAUCAGCUGAUAUUUAAGCCGCUUAACAGCUGAUGCUAAGCCGCUUAUCAGCUGAUCUUUAAGCCGCUUAACAGCUGAUGGCUAAGCCGCUUAUCAGCUGAUCUUUAAGCCGCUUAUCAGCUGAUCUUUAAGCCGCUUAACAGCUGAUGCUAAGCCGCUUAUCAGCUGAUCGUUAAGCCACUUAUCAGCUGAUCUUUAAGCCGGCUAAGCCGCUAAUACUGUAGCGCUAAGCCGCUAAACCUCUAAUGGGCUUGCUUCGCAAGACGAAGAAACCCGCAAGACGAAGAGACUCGCGGAACGGAUUCUUUUCGUCUUGCGAGGCACCACUGUAGUGGCUACUAGCCAACUACCACUGGCAUGUUACCACAGAGGUUUGACGAUAAUGGAAAGCAAAAGGUUGAAAUAGGUUCCCAACUCCUGUUUAAAGCUUUAUAUCAUGGGUAGGCAAACUAAGGCCCAAGGGCCGGAUCCAGCCCAAUCGCCUUCUAAAUCCAGCCCGCAGACGGUCCGGGAAUGAGCGUGUUUUUACAUGAGUAGAAUGUGUCCUUUUAUUUAAAAUGCAUCUCUGAGUUAUUUGUGGAGCCUGCCUGGUGUUUUUACAUGAGUAGAGUGUGUGCUUUUAUUUAAAAUGCAUCUCUGGGUUAUUUGUGGGGCAUAGGAAUUCGUUCAUCCCACACACAAACACCCCAAAAAAUAUAGUCCAGCCCCCCACAAGGUCUGAGGGACAGUGGACCGGCCCCCUGCUGAAAAAGUUUGCUGACCCCUGCCUUGGAUAGGCUCUGUGAAACAUAUAUCAGAGGCUUCUUCCUUUUCUUCUUUUAUGCCCCACUGUAACUCUGAGGAUCGACAAAAGAGUGUCCUCUCUAGUCUAGUUGCAACAAACAGCAGUGGUGAACCUCUUCACAUCGUAGGUAGGGGUUCACAUCCAUUUCACCCAAGGGUUCCCCACACAUGGGAAUUUAGCAUAUCAGCAAGAGUGAUUCUAAUCCAACCUUCUCCCUGACAGGGUAGCUUUCUAUGUCUAGGUUCCCCACCCUCCUGCAUAAGGCAGUAUUCUGUCAUGUGAACCUACAACUAGUCUAUGGUGGUACAGUCCAGAUCUUGGUUUUACUAAGUCAUUUGAAAAUUUUCAUACCACGUUUUCAAUGUAUAUGCCUUAACCAUGGCAGCUUACAUCAUUUCAUUACACACACACAAUCUCAAAGCAACACAGUAGUACCUCAGGUUACAAACACUUCAGGUUACAGACUCCGCUAACCCAGAAGUAGGUUAAGAACUUAACCUCAGGAUGAGAACAUAAAUCGCAUGGCGGCAGCAGGAGGCCCCAUUAGCUAUAGUGGUUCCUCAGGUUAAGAAUGGUUUCAGGUUAAGAACAGACCUCUGGAACGAAUUAAGUUCGUAACCAGAGGUACCACUGUAUAAAAAUGCAGAGAAGCUAAGCCGAAAAGAACUAAGUACACCAUAUAAAAACAAACAUAACAUUCCAGGCCUGAAAGCCCUUAGAAAGUUUAAGACUACUAGCAUAACCUUUUAAUCUUAUAAUUGAAUAGAUGGUGCCUUCUUUUGCCAUGUGACAGCAACGAAAGCUGCAUUUCUAUGCUGAUAACUUGAAAAAUGACUCCCGUGUGAACAGAUCUACCAUUAAACAUUAUAGCAAGAUAAGCUUAUGGAAAACCAAUUCCCAUAGCUUGUUUCUACUAGGGGCAAUGCAGUAUUCUACAAUAGCAAUAGUUACCCUGAAGAUAGUCAUAUGAAGCCUCCAAUUUGUUAUCACUUGCAUCUUUAUACAGAAGUUGAAAAACUGGCUUGGCCCAGGAUCUGUUAGCCAUUUUAAAAAACAAAAAAAACCCUUGGAGGUAAAACUAUUAUGUAAACUUUGAAUAAAGAGUACUCUUGUUACUUUCCUUAGUAACUCUUGUUUCCAUAAUGCCAUAUAGAACAUAACUGAGGGAGUUGAAACUUCUGAGCCCUACUGUGGUUCUGUUUACUGCAUCAGGGCAGGACUAUUUCUGGAGAUUUUACUGCACUAGAUAAGGCAGGAAAGAUACAACCCUCCAAGGUCAGUUAUCAUAUUGACUCUGGAAAACUAUGGAUUCUCUUUGUACAACACUCUCUAUAGUCUCUCACAAACAUCAUAGCAUGAUUCAGCACACCAAGUAGUUACCAGCCACAAACAGUGAAAGCAAGAGCAUAAUGUCUUAAGAUGCUCCAGUCAUUAGGAGUCAGUGUGAUAUAGCAGAAGGUCAUUUUAGAACUGAGGAGACUCGCGUCCUAAUCUUUACUCAGCUACAAAACUCUGUGACCUUGUGCCAGUCAUACCCUCUCAGCCUAACCAACCACAUAAGGUUGCUGUGAGUAUGAAAUGUGAGAGGGAAGAACCAUGUAUGCCACAAUGAGCUCAUUGGAGGAUGUGUGAAAUAUAAAUUUAGAUUGAAAAUUAAUAAUAUAUGUAUUAAUAAUAAAUGUCCUGCUUGGCCCUGACGGCUGUCAGAUCUUUCCAAAAUAAGGUCGCCUGUAUUGCCUGGUCAGUUUGUUGGGUCACACAUCCAGAAGGGAACCCCUUAUUGUUGGACAGGGGAUCUACAGAGCAAGCCCUUUUACCUCAAGUCAGAAGGUUUUUAGAGAAUGAUUUGCUGAGGAUUUCUUCCAGGUCCCUGCUGACCUAGACAUGUGUGUGUAUUUAUCUUAGUAAAGCCUGCUGGGUCACAUCACAAGAAAGUUAGACCCAAAAGGUUCUUCUCCUGCAACAUCACAUUUAUACAAUUGUAUUGCAUUUCAUAAUACAUAUGUCACAACGUCACCCCACAAUGAACUCCGUGCCUCACAGAUCCAAAGAGACCAACAGCCAAUCUUAACUAAUACUAGCACAAAUCUAUUUAUUAUCAUGUUGAAAAGAGCGUACAUUGGUGUCAGAUGAAGGUCGUUUUUAAGCCUCUGAUCCCAACUGUGUGCCAUACUAUUCCCAUGUUAUAAUAAGAAUCCAAUAUUCAUUUCAACCCUAACCGAUUGAUUGAAAAGAUAUCAUGCUACUUAUGCAUGCGUGCCCCUUCUCUCCAAUUUGGCAGUCGUUGAGUCUAGAGUUCAAGGCAAGCUAUCAGCUCCUGCCCCAAGGGAUCAGUGGUAGCUUACACAGUCACUAGUUGUUUGCUGUUCUCCUCCCCACACCCCAGCAUCCCUAUUGCUUCAUGGUUUGUUUCCAAGAGCAAACAGAGUCAAAGCAGCCACACACACACACACACACACACACACACAGUCGCAGUCUCAAACAUAUUCUGCAAGUUAUAUAACAGAAUAAGCUUUUCCUUAGUGAAAGUUACCUGUGAGCUGGACUUCCUUUGGGUGCCUUUGAAUCCAAAGCAUGCUAUGAAAUGGUAGGCUGGACGCAACCAUAUCCUUUGAAUUCCUAUUUGGCUUUCUUCCUGAUAGUUCUGUUGACAUCUCUUAAGAGUCCCUUGACUGUGCUAAUUGGAUUCUUGAGGUCAUUUCCAACAUUCUAUAUGCGAUCUGCAUAAAAAUUAAUCUGUUGCUCCCUGUACAGAAAUUUAAACCACUUUCUGAUUAUCUGUUCUGCCCCAUGAGAGAUUUGACAUUAUCACCAAAAGAUUCCUUCCUUUAUUAAUAAGUGUUAUUAAAGUGUACUGUAUUGACUCUAGCAUUUUAGCUCUAAUCUAUGCAUUUAAUGUACUAAGCCAAGUCAAUAUGUUAGAUAGAAUGCUAUAUUCUGUCUUUUUAAAUUGUUAACAUACGCCUGAAUUUGUGUUCCAUUUUCCUAAAUAAAUCUUACUGUUCCUAAUAUUAACAGUUUUUGUGCCCCACCCCACCACAGAAUGAAGAUGCAAGACAUUGAGUUUGAGGGGACAACUUUAUUAAUGUAAAAAAGGUAUGUGCAGUGAGGAAUUUUUUGUAAUUGGCAUCUGUCUGUCUCGAGAGACAAUGGAGUGUGCCUCCAGGAGUGAAGCCAAACCACUGUGUUAGCAGCAUCAAAGUGACCUCCCAGGGACGCAAGCUUGGGCAGUGUGUAUGGAGGUCCUGAGCUGCCCAGAUGACAAGACCCAUCUUGGCUCAAAGCCCCUCAUUAAAAUGUACUGAUCAGAGCCUUCCUUUACCCACGUCUCUAAAAUGGCUGGUUGAAGGGGUUGCCCUAGAGGAGCACCUCUCCUCUCCCCUGGUGUCAAGCAUUCAGAAGGAAGAACCUCAUGGGGUUCAAGGUUUGGUCUGUCAUGUUUCUCCUUGAGCAAUAGCUGUGGGAAUCCCUCUCCACUGAGGUGCAUCUGAUCCCAUCAUUAUAUAGCUUUCAUCACAUUCUGAAGAUGCACCUCAUCCCUUUGACCCACCCUUUUCUGCUGAUGAUUGAUGGUAAAUUGUUUUAACGGAUUUUAAUAUUGUAUUUCUGGAUUUUUGUAACCCACCCUGUAACCUUAUGGUUAAGUGCAGGAAAGAUAUUUAACCAAUAAAUAAUAGAUUGGGAAAACAUCCCUUCACUAUGUGAGUGCCCUUGAGCGCUCACCAGGGAAGUCACUCUAAACUUCUCCCUCCCUGCUCACACUACUUGUCACAAGGCAUGACCCUCUCCACCCUACCUGCUGACCACAAGGUCAAGCAAGCAGCACUGCAGUUCCCUGCCCCAAGGAACCUACCAUAUCCCACAAUAGUGAGCUUAGGCUGCAGUGCUUGAUCACAUUGUAAUGAAUGCUCUGUUUUCCUGAAUAAAUCUUACUAUUUCUAAUUCACCUUUUUUCCCCUUGGUGUGAGUAUUCAGUACUUCUUGCUUAGCUAUAAAGUAUAUAUAUAUGUGACUUCAAUACAUUCAAAUUUUGAAUCAAUAUAGAGAGACAGCAC